rnacentral:rRNA from 1 species
GACGAACCGGAGCGAACGUUGUUCGGAAUCACUGGGCUUAAAGGGCGCGUAGGCGGGUGCUCAAGUCCGGGGUGAAAUCCUCCAGCUCAACUGGAGAACUGCCUCGGAUACUGGGUGCCUCGAGUGUGGUAGGGGUGUGCGGAACUAUCGGUGGAGCGGUGAAAUGCGUUGAUAUCGAUAGGAACUCCGGUGGCGAAGGCGGCACACUGGACCACAACUGACGCUGAGGCGCGAAAGCCAGGGGAGCAAACGGG